rnacentral:tRNA from 1 species
AAGCCAGUGGUGCGACAAGUAAGUCAUUGAUUGUUCUGAACCCGGGGCUGACUCUUAAUCAGCAGGUCCCAGGUUCGAGCCCUGGUGCGCCCA